rnacentral:rRNA from 1 species
CCUACGGGUGGCAGCAGUGGGGAAUAUUGGACAAUGGGGGCAACCCUGAUCCAGCCAUGCCGCGUGUGUGAAGAAGGCCCUCGGGUUGUAAAGCACUUUCAGUGAGGAAGAACGCCUGGUGGUUAAUACCCAUCAGGAAAGACAUCACUCACAGAAGAAGCACCGGCUAACUCCGUGCCAGCAGCCGCGGUAAUACGGAGGGUGCGAGCGUUAAUCGGAAUUACUGGGCGUAAAGCGCGCGUAGGUGGCUUGAUAAGCCGGUUGUGAAAGCCCCGGGCUCAACCUGGGAACGGCAUCCGGAACUGUCAAGCUAGAGUGCAGGAGAGGAAGGUAGAAUUCCCGGUGUAGCGGUGAAAUGCGUAGAGAUCGGGAGGAAUACCUGUGGCGAAGGCGGCCUUCUGGACUGACACUGACACUGAGGUGCGAAAGCGUGGGUAGCAAACAGGAUUAGAUACCCUGGUAGUC